CCAACCAAUCGCCGAGGAGCACCACCUACCGAGCGGCGGCUCAUUGGCGAAAGCGACCGUCAAGUAGCAACGUCACCCGGCAGCCAGGCGAGGCGGGGCAGAACUCUCGCCUUGGCUGCCUGAGUGAGUGUGAGUGUGAGAGCGAGAACAGCCCGCAGGUCCCGAGGCGCUUGCAGGGGACUCUGCCGCGGAAAGUUCCCAGUCCCCAGCCGCAGCUAUUCUGGAAAUCAGGAAACUCUCAAAAUAAGUAAUAUCCAUAAAGGAAAAAAUGUGAGCAUUUCUGAUAUGAGACACUCCAUAAAGAAAAAUGCUGUCCUGGGAAUCACUCCUAGAACACCUUUCUCGCCUGAAGCUGCUGACCUUGGAGGCAGAGGGAGAUGAAGAGAAUGGUACUGAUUCCUCACAAUUUAGCACAGUCUCCCUUGAAAUGACACAGAAAACUUAGAAGAUGCUGGCUGGAGAGUCCAUUUUUUUCUAUUUAUACCACAGCUCUGGAUUGUCUGUUUCCGGCUAGUCUACACCCAGUCCCCAACGUUUUUAUGAGAAAGCAUGAAGUCUCUUAUCAUUCAAUGGAUCCUGUAGUCUGGUUCAGGAGUUUUUCCAGACCAGCAAUAUUUUGGCCUAUUCUUAUCUAGAAGAAGAGAUGAUUCUCAUGUCUUCCAAUUCUACAUAUGCAGAUUCAGCCAAACAGAGAUCAAAAAUACUUAGAAAAAAGGUUCAUUUUUAUAAGAACAGGAUAAUUUGACCAAAGUAUUUCAUCAAACUGAAGUCUUUUGAUCACUUCAAGCAGAACUCCUGCUCGUGAAUGUGUCCUGUGAAGACCAGUGUUUACUAUCAACCUAAUGUCCUCACAUUAAGCUUUCUGUGUCUACACCCUGCCUAGGUGACCACUGUACCAAGAGCAGCACAGAUGACUCAUUUUAUUCAGGAACCUUGAACAAUCAUCGGACCCUGGGGAAAGCCAGCCCACAGCUUAAAUAGCCUCUGGGUAGCCAACCCCAACUUGCCACGUGGGCAAUGCAGAUAGGUCCACAUACAUGGAAGCAAGCCAGAUCCUCAGCCUUAGCCAAAUGUGGAGUUGUUUGUGACAGAGAGCACUCACCAUCGGGAAGGUGGAAGGCGGAAACCAGCUCCAUUGAACUUCUAUAAGCCCAAGUACCUAUGGAGGCCUGAGGAAGUGAUCAUGUGCCCUGGAAGUAGAGUAACAGGUUGCAAGUUGUUUGCUUUUGUGGUGUUGAGUAUUGAAGAGAGAACAUGGGUAAUAGAGAAAAGAAUUCACCACUCAGCCCUGUGCAGUGCAGGAUUUAUAUGGGCCAAACCACAGGUCACACACCCAAGUGACUACGAUGCUUUUCUUCACUGAGGGAAUUUUUUUAAUUAAAUUUUUAUUUUUUUAUAUUAAUUACAGUUUAUUCAAUUUGUAUCCCAGCUGUAGCCCACUCCCUUAUUCCCUCCUAAUCUCCCUUUCCCUCCCUCAUCUCCUCCUAUACCCCUCUCCAAGUCCAUGGAUAGGGGAGGAACUCCUCCCCUUCCAUCUGACCAUAGCUUAUCCAUUCUCAUCUGAACUGGCUGCAUUGUCCUCCUCUGUGGCCUGGCAAGGCUGCUUCCCAUCAGAGGGAGGUGGUCAAAGAGCCAGCCACUGAGUUCAUGUCAGAGACAGUCCCUGUUCCCUUUACUAGUGAUACUAGCUCAGUAUCACUUAGAUGCUGAGUUGCCAUGGGCUACAUCUGAGCAGCGGUUCUAGGUUAUAUCCAUGAAUGGUCCUUGGUUUAAGAGCAGAUAUGAGACAUUUUAAGAGAAACAUCUUACCCUUACCUCAGGACUUCCUUCAGAAGUCAAGUCGCCUUUCUUUCUCUCCCUCACAUUCACCUCACCAAUCUCUCUCUCUCUCUCUCCUAACUUUCUCUUUAACCCUUGCACUCAGUCUCUUGCCCUCUGGAAAGAACUGGAACUAAAAUAUAUAUACAUGAAAAGUUGUUUCUCUGAGAAGAAGGAAAGAAGUGUGCUUGGAACAGUGUCUGCUGCAUGCACCAAAAUUGUAACCAAAAAGGCCCUCUUGAGUCCUAAUCCAAACAAAAGUGAAAUGAUACCAUUUGGUGCACACUGGUUAAUGUGAGGCUCCUGAAAACUAGCCCACGGGAACAUCAAAUUUCUUACUUCUACGGCCUGUGAACAACUAAAAGUCACAGAAGAGACUCAUAGAUGCAUUAUUGUGGCUGAUCACCUUGUGACAUGCUACUGGUUGAAUGUCUUUUAGAAUAUAUGCACUGUGCUUCGAGUAAAUCUUUUACAAUUAAUAAAGAAUCAAGCUGGAGGCCUCAAACCAGACCAAUGACGCAUUGCAGUGACCAUUUGCACGUGAAGGUGUUUGGACAGAAGUGUAUACACUGUGUGACUAACUGUGACACACUGCAGCUUCCAGGGUAGGGAGGGAUCCUCCACCAACCCACCACAGCACUUCAAGUUGCAUCAAGACUGAGCACAUGGAGGCUUCAUGAUGGCCUGGAAAGGCAGCCCCACCACUGGGUAGUGACCAAAAAGCCUGCAACACAGUCCAUAUCAGAGUCAACCCCCAUUCUCCUUACUAGAGAGCACAUGUGAGCACCGAGCUGCUCAUGGGCUACAUCUGUGUGUGGGGUCUAGGUCCAGUCUAUGCAUGGUCCUUGGUUGGUGAUUUAAUGUCUGCAGGGAGCCCUGGGCCCAGAUUAGUUGGCUCUAUUGGUUUUCUUGUGACACUCCUAAAGCCUCUGGGUCCUUCUGUCCUUCCAGUAACUCUGCCACAAGGCUCCCUGUACUCGCUGUACUCCCUUCACUGCCCAGUCUUUGGGUGUGAGGCUCAGUGACUGUUUGGAUCUGCUGCUGGGUGGAGCCUCUCAGAAGACAGCUAUGCUAGGCUCCUGUCUGCAAGCAAAGCAGUGUCAUUGUUAAUGUCAGGGUUGGCUCUUUCCCAUGGGGGAGGUCUCAGGUUGGUCCAGGGAUUGGUUGGACAUUCCCUCCACCUCUGCUUUAUCUUUAUCCCUGCACAUCUUGUAAGAAAGGGAAAAUUUUGGGUUGAACUAAAAGGCAUACUACUGUAAAGACAGGCAUGACAUUUAGCAUGACAUUUAACAACAACAACAACAAAAAAUACCCAAACAAACAGACUAAAUCAAAACAAAACAAAAACAACUUUCUGCUCUGACUAGUUCUUAAUUAAUGUAAAAGCAUAUUAGAAGACUAUUUUUGUUGUUGUUAAAUUUAACCUUGAAUAGCCAUCCUGGAUUCUCACACUAAGUUUUUAACCAAGUUCAUUUAAAGUUCUAAUACUUACCUUCUACUCUGCUUAAAAAUGUGAGUUACGUAUACACACUGGGGAAAGUUCCCUCUUAAAAUUGGUUUUAUGACUUGAAGAUUCCCUACUUUAUAUAUAAAAUUAAAUUAGAUUCCUUUUGUUCAUUGAGAAAGUGUUUUAUUACUUUAAGGUUGACUAUGAACAUUUUCUCUGAGCUAAUAUUUUAGUUUAGAAUUAAAAUGUCAUCAUUAAUAUAGGCUAUAAAAUAAGUACUAUUUCAAGCCAAAAUUUUCUGCAUUCUGUGAUAUAAAUUUAAUUUUAUAUUUUUGAUGAGCUUACUUAAAAUAUAUUACCCAUGUUCUCAAUCCUUUUUAAUUUUAUAGUCACUAUUUUAUAAAAUUUAAAAUAAAAUAUUGUUUUAAAACAAGGAUAUA